rnacentral:miRNA from 9 species
AAGUUACCAGGUGAGAUUUAA